GGAUUUUUGAAAUUUCAUAACAUUCAUAAUUGAACUUUCUUGACUUAUACUAACAAACUAAUAAAGAUCAAAUAAAAAAUGGCAAGUUUCAAAUUGUUAUUUGUACUUUUGGCAACCAUUUUAAUGUUCAUGGCUCCUGUUAUCAAUGCCAAAUGUAAAGGAAAUGGAACUCCAUGCCAACCUAAUGGAAAGACAAAUUGUUGUACAGGAUAUUGUUAUAAACAAGUAGGAUGGAAAAAAGGUCAUUGCGCCAAUCGUCGUUAAGUAGAAUUAUAUAUUACAUUUUUAACUUGUAAAGUUAGCUAUAAUGUAUAUUCUAAAUGCAAUGUAAAUUAAAAAAUAAAUCAAAAUAAAUACUUUUUUAUAAACUUAAAA